AUUGAACGCUGGCGGCAGGCUUAACACAUGCAAGUCGAGCGGGGGAGGUUGCUUCGGUAACUGACCUAGCGGCGGACGGGUGAGUAAUGCUUAGGAAUCUGCCUAUUAGUGGGGGACAACAUUCCGAAAGGGAUGCUAAUACCGCAUACGCCCUACGGGGGAAAGCAGGGGAUCUUCGGACCUUGCGCUAAUAGAUGAGCCUAAGUCGGAUUAGCGAGUUGGUGGGGUAAAGGCCUACCAAGGCGACGAUCUGUAGCGGGUCUGAGAGGAUGAUCCGCCACACUGGGACUGAGACACGGCCCAGACUCCUACGGGAGGCAGCAGUGGGGAAUAUUGGACAAUGGGCGGAAGCCUGAUCCAGCCAUGCCGCGUGUGUGAAGAAGGCCUUUUGGUUGUAAAGCACUUUAAGCGAGGAGGAGGCUACUAGUACUAAUACUACUGGAUAGUGGACGUUACUCGCAGAAUAAGCACCGGCUAACUCUGUGCCAGCCGCCGCAGUAAGAC
rnacentral:rRNA from 1 species